UAGAAAGUGAAAGAACAUCACGCCUAUAUUCCAAGGUGCGGAAUACAAACAUGCGCAAAGUACCCGAAGAGUGGCUAGGCCAGACUCAACUAGGUCCGCCUAAAAAGAAGCGGGAUGUUAUUGCCCUCCGUUUCCAACAACAUUGCCUAGCUAGCCUUUGAUCGUGCCGUUUGCACUCGCAAAAAAGCAUGUUUCUCCGAACAUGCACAGAGCGCCCGCCCUUCGCCGCCGCUGAGCAACCAAGCGCAACUAUCAAAACACCUGACGUUAAAAGGAUUUAAAGGAGGGUCGAGUAGCACUUAGCACCUCUCCUUUCCGGGAGACAAAACCCCCUUAACCCGCUGUUCUACUGAGCUACAGGUUUUAGGGUUGCCUCUUGGCGACAAGCACCAGAGGGAGCUGUUCGUGCGCAGCAGCCCCGUCCCCUCUCCGGCCGUUAGGCUGGCUCCUCCCCGAGAAGGCGGAGGGCUGGAGCGACUUCGGCGGAGCGGCGAGGCGAGACGGCGGGAGGCGCGGCUGCUGCCGUAGCAGCUGUUUGACAACCCGCCGGCGGCUGGGCCUCUCCGGAGCUAGAGGUUGCAUCUGAUGGAUCAAUAACCCUAUAUCAUUUCCAGAAUUGAAAAAUGAUGACUGAGGACCUAGACCAGUUCCUUGAAGAACAAAAAGCAAAGUUGGCACAAGACAAAGCGAAGCUUAACAAUGAUCCACCUUACAUGGAAAUGCAGAACAAAAGUGCAGAGAAGCUUUCUGAGGCCAGCAAAAUGUUAAUAGCCAUGGCUAAAGAAAACAUUCCACCAAAUAGUCAACAGACUAGUAUACAUGAUUAUGGCUUAAGCUUGCCUCUCGGGGAAGAAUAUGAAAAUAAAAAGCACAAACUGAAGGAGGAGCUUCGACAAGACUACAGGUGUUACCUUUCUCAGGGUAUUUCACAGACAAAAAAGAAGAAAAAAUACCUUGCAUUUGGUGAAGUUGACCCAUAUACUCAGGGACUAUCACUUCCUAUUGGUGACAGGAGGUCUGCUAAGGACAGGUUAAGACUUGAGAGGAACAAAGAAUACAAUCAGUAUCUCAGGGAAAGAGAAGACUGGAAUGAAAGGUUAAAAAGAGUCGAGAAGAAGCACACAGAGCAUGACAUAGACACACACAAAAAAGGCAUUGCUGUUACCAGAUCCCAGCCAGCAUUACAUACCUCAGCAUUACAGCCACCAAUAAGAGAUGAAGAAUUCUUCAAGAAAGAUGCUUGCACUUCUACAGAUACCUUUGAAGAGCUGUCAGACAAGAGACAAUCAGUAGAUCAAUACCACAAACCAAAUAAUGACGUUGGACAUGGGGACACCCUGUUGCACAAACAACUUGAUGAAGUAUUGAACAUUUCCAACAGAAAGCACCAAAGGCUGGAUAGAAGGCAUUACAGGUUUGAUGAAGGUCAUGAUCCUGAAACGGAUUAUGAAAUGGACCCUAGAUUUCGAUAUGAAAGUGACUAUGACAAAAAGCCACUGCGGGUCUUUCAUGCUCAAAGAAGCCAAUGCACUAAUGAGCAAGCACAAGCUGCUGGUGGCAGUGCCCCAUAUGCAACAGGACUAAUCAUUGGGGGUCAAGACAGAGAGCUUAUCCAGAGAAGAAAAGAGCAAUAUAGGCAAGAACUGAUGGAACAAAUCGCAGAGCAACAAAGAAAUAAGAGACGUGAAAAAGAGCUUGAGCUCCCAGUUGCUGCAUCUGGAGUUGUAGACCCCGAAAAGAAGCCUAACCGACUGAAAGACCUGGGAUUAACACCACGAAUAUCUGAGGAGAGAAUACCACCAGAAAGACCAAGACCAGCAUUUCAAACUCCAACACCUGGACCUACAUCCAUAUCUGCACCUCCUAUCUCACCUGUGAAUGAAGAGUUCCACAGAGGGUUGUCCACUACUCUUGGAGAAAUGUUGGCUCCCAGAAUGGCACCGUUACCACCUCCACCUCCACCACCAAUUCUGAUUGAUAACUACAGAACUCCAUAUGAUGAUGCGUACUACUACUAUGGUGCCAGGAACCCUUUGGACCCCAGCCUUGCAUAUUAUGGCCCAGGUAUAUCAGGGAUGCAGCCUUCAUCUGCACCUCCCCCUGUAGAUACUGUUCAAAGACCUCCUCCUAUGACUGCAAGUAAAAUAGGAGCAAGAAUUGCAAAUGACAGACCGAAAGGUCUGUGUAUGUUUCCCGAAGAAAAACCAAAGACCUCAAAAGACGCUACUUUAGCUUAUCAGCAUGAAUUACAACAACAGAUAAGGGAAAGAGAAGAACGUCGCAGGCAAGAGAAGGAAGAAAAGGAACGGUAUGAGGCCAAAUUAGAAGCUGAAAUGAGAGCUUACAAUCCUUGGGGCAAAGGUGGUGGUGGCGCUCCUCUCAGAGAUAAAAAAGGAAACCUCAUAACUGACUUGAAUAUGAUGCACAAGCAAAAUGAAGAUGCAUAUCAUAACCCAGAGGCACGAGUAUAUGAAGAUAAAAGGGCUAUAGUAUCUGUUGACCUAAGUUUGGCCUCCCCAAGACUUGAGAAUACAGAUGAAUCUUCAAAUAAAAUAGCAGGUUUCACAUAUACACAAACAUCCCCAUUUGCUCGUGGUAACAUUUUUGGUGAGACCCCAACACCGGAGCAGCUUAGGCGGCAAGAAUCAUACAAGAACUUUCUUCGUUUCCAGAUUGAGGAGAAAAGAAAACGAGAAGAGGAAGAGCGUGAAAAACGAAGACUUGAAGAAGAAAGGGAAGAAAAAAGGCUAACUGAGCAGAGGGCUAAAAUACAGAGAGAAUAUGAGGAGGAACUAGAGAGGAAACGAAGGAGAGAAGAAGAGCAAAGAUUAAAAAAUGAAGAACUGUAUCGAUUAGCUGAAGAAAGAAGAAAAGAGGGAGAGAGAAAAAGGGCGGAAGAGGAAGAAAGGCUGGAUAAACAGCUCCAGCAGAACAGUGAAAAUGAAAGACAUGCUGGAGAAGAAAAGAUUUCUAGACAACCUUCUCCUCUCAUUCCAUCUCUUCAGAACAAAGCUGUUGUAAAAGAAGAAAGGUCUCUUUUAGUGGAGAGUCGUACGUCUUACUAUACACAUGAUGUUCCCAGAAUCCCAUCUCCUCCAGUUCCAGCCAGAAGAAACCAGCUACGUGCCUAUGAAGAAAAGAAGAAUGUAAUAAGUGAGCUGUCAGAGAUGAGGAAGCAGCUUCGCAGUGAAGAGCGGCGACUCCAGGAAGAGUUGUUGAAAGUCCACAGUGAUGACGAUGACAUGCCAGCGAAAGGCAGGAGGAAAGAUAAAUAUAACAUGGAUGUAUUUGAGAUGGCUAGGCAUCGUAUGCAAGCUCCAGUCAGACGACCGUCAUCAAAAGAUGUCUCUGAUCCUAUCAACAUACAGAAUAUCCGGGAUUUUAAUGAACUUAAAUACAAAGAGUCAGACACACGGGUAGAAACACGAUAUAUGUAUCCUGAUCCUCCCACGACUAAUGAUGCCCUGGACAUUCAGCAGCAAGCAUUGCUAAGAGAGCAGAACAAGAAACUUAAAAAACUGAGGGAAAAUGCAGAAGCCGCCCUAGAUUUUGAUGAGCCUGUGCCUGGCUUUAAAUCGAGAGACAGAGGAAUGGUCAGAGACGAUGUGUCAAACUCACUUUUAGAGUCUGAUAGUGCUUUUAUUGGUACUGAUGGAGAGACCUUUCCUAUUUUAGAAGACCAUGACUUCAAUGUGAAUUCACCUCCACCACUGCCAGUAUCUGCAAGGGAAAGGAGGCGAGAAAAGAAAAUGGAUGCUGGCGCUGUUAGGCCGACUCCAUCACUGGAGACUGACGACGACUCUCUGCACUCAAACUCUAGUCUUAAUAUAGAUCAGCUGAAAGCCAGAAAUGAAGAGCGAUUGCGAAGGCUGAAUGAGUUGCAAAAGAAGGCCAUUCAUAUAGGUAUGGUCAUUUUGUUGAAUAACAGUAGCCAGGAUACUGACAUAGCAGCCAGGCAUUCGACACACAUUCACAGAACACACAUUCUGUUCUGCAUAGGGGGAAAUAAAAUUCAUAGUGUGGCGUUUAAUGAAGCUUUCUUUAGAGUUGGCAUGUUAAAGUUGGCCCUUAAGUCAUGUUCAUUAAUUUCAAUGAGUCUGUUUUAAGUAAGAGUUGAAUACCACCCAAUAAAUAGAAGAGCAAAAAUUGUCCCAGUAGUAGCUUACUGUUUUGAAGUAGUAAUUGCUGGCAUCCUGUUGCUGAGGUUUUCCUGUGCAGCAAAAGGAAGCUCUUCUACAUUGCCAUAUCCAAGUAUUUGGAAGCUACUGAAGUGCCCUACGUAGAACUAGUCUCACCUUCAGAGAAAUAUGUGACCAGGUUUUAGGCUUUUUGCCUUUGAAACAAUGCUGUUGACAAGAAGAAAGUUUAGGGAAGAGCAGUAAACGGCCCAAACUGGCAUUUCACUUCACUUUUAUACAGGCAGAACACCAGAAGAAAUCUGAAAGAGAAGCAUGGAGAGUGGGGGAUAAAACCAAUUUGGAUCACUGAAAGCUCCUUCCACAUUCUCUCUCUGGUCUUUAAACUUUUAACUGAUGUUACUAUCACCAGUUAAAAAAAUUAUCCUAAAAUUGGAGUGGCUGGGGAAAGUUUUCAAAGGCCCUUACUCAACUUCUGUUUUUUCUUCCCCACUUCUGCUGCACAGCUUUUAAACUGAUGCAAUGAUGGGACUCCACAUUCUCUCUUUUCUGUGCUCAGCAGCCCAGGUAUUGAAGAGAGCAGGAGCAAACAAUAGGGGAGGCCAGGAGACGCCAAGAGCCCCAGUGAGGCUCCCUUAGGUACAAACUCUGUCUGGCCUUCAUCAGCUUUACUUUGGAGUGGUGACUGGCUAUGCACACAGGUCCCCCCACUACAUUGUGGCUUGUGUGUCGUAGGUUGGAUUCCACAAAAUGAGAAUUGUGAUGUUGGAGGCUCUCCUGUGAGCUACUUGUCUAGCCCUCUGCUAGUUGCUGGCAGUCAGAGAGCAUCCUGCAUGGAUGGCAGCCCAUCUUCUGCUUGAAAGCACCUAGUGAAGGAGAGCCACUCCCACCGCACUCCCUAAUUGGUUCCAUUGUCAAACUGCUCUUACUGUUAAGACGUUUCUCCUAAUCUCCAUUAGUUCUAGUCCUUCCCUCAAGGGCAGCAGAGAACAAGCCUUUGCCCUCUUCCAUGUGGCAACCCUUCGGGUAUUUGAAGAGCUUCCCUUAGGUCUUCUCCAGGCUAACAUACCCAGUUCCUUCAACUCUUACUCAUAGGAUUUCUGUACUAUCUUCCAAACCUGUUUUAGUUUGUCAAAAAUCCUCCUUAAAGUGUGGUACCUGGAUCUGGACACAGUACUCCAGAUGAGGCCUGCAUUCCUGAGAUCUUUGUCAUAUUUAUUGAUGCAUUUUUCAACAUGCAUACUGCCCAACAACAGAAGUUUUCUGAGUGGUUUACAUUGAAAAGUUAAAAUUAUAAGAUAAAAAAGUAAGACAUAAACAUGAACGUUCCAACAGAAUAAAAACAGCAGCAGUGUAAAACCAAAUGUACUGCUGCCAAGCUAGGCACCCUCUAUCCAAAACUUCAUUGUUGUCAAAAUUAAGAACCUUGCAUUUGUCACUGUUUUUAGCUAGUUUCAACUCACUUUUUCUAUUUUAUCAAUGUCAUUUGAAUGUUUGUUUUAUCAAUGUCAUUUUGAAUUUUAUUCUCAUCUUCUGAGAUGCUAACUUUACCUUCCAGUUUUGUGUCACGUGCAGAUUUGACAGGGAUCCAUUUCCUUCACCCCCUUCAUCGUUAUUAAGAAUAAUCCAUUAGAAUUAAGAAAUACUGUAGGCGUCUUUCCCAAAGAUCAUAGAAACUAACAAAAGUGUUUAAAAAUCUUUCCCCCUUGUAUCAUGUAUUCUUUCUUGAUAGGUUAGCAUGUUGCAUCAACAAAAUCGGGACUCAUUUUUGACAUUUUCUUUAUAGAAAGGAAGUGGUGGUCAGGCUGAUGAUGUUCCACUGGGAAUGGCGGUUGACAGAAGACCCAGCUCUGUGGACACAGUGGCAACCGAACCGUGGCUGAGACCUGGGACAUCAGAAACCCUUAGAAGAUUUAU